AUAACAGUGGCGAAAUUGGUAAACGCGGUUAGUUUAGGUCUAAUUUAAAUGUGGGUUCAAGUCCUGUCUGUUAUA
rnacentral:tRNA from 1 species